rnacentral:lncRNA from 1 species
ACAGCUGGCACGCCGAGGACGAGGAGGACGACGACGACGCCGAUCUCGAAGCCGCCGCCCCGAGGGGCAUCUCCGACCUGUACGACCUCAUCGUCGGCCUCCAGGCCGCGCCGGGCGUCCAAGGCGAAGACGCCGAUCGCACAGCAGCAGCAGACACCGACGAAAUCGAGGAGCACGAUGCUCAGACCACCGACGAUGUCGACGACGAGGACGAGGAGGAGGACGACGACGGGUUCUGCGUGGUGCGGGGCAUCACCAUCGCGCUCGAGUUCUCCGACGGGGAGGAGGACUGGAUCGUGGUCUGAUGAUCGGAUCUCAUCUCAUUCGUUUGCAAAUAAGACGGCGUGCAACAGAGGUCAGCCGCCCGCACCCCUCU